rfam:Triticum urartu cultivar G1812 contig769447, whole genome shotgun sequence.
GCUUAGUUGGUAAAGCACAAAGCUCUCAAACUUGUGGACGUGGGUUCAAGCCCCAU